UGCGGUGUAGGAGCGAGCGAGGAACAGAGAGGAGAGGGGAGGUGUAGGACCGAGGAGGAACAGAGAGGAGAGGGGAGGUGUAGGACCGAGGAGGAAGAGAGAGGAGAGGUGAGGUGCGGUGCGUUGUAGGAGCGAGGAGGAACAGAGAAGAGAGGUGAGGUGCGGUGUGGAGCGGUGUAGGAGCGAGGAGGAACAGAGAAGAGGGGAGGUGUAGGAGCGAGGAGGAACAGAGAGGUGAGGUGAGGUGCGGCGUAGGACUGGAGGAACAGAGAGGAGAGGGGAGGUGCGGUGUAGGAGCGAGGAGGAACAGAGAGGAGAGGUGAGGUGCGGUGUAGGAGCGAGGAGGAACAGAGAGGAGAGGUGAGGUGUAGGACCGAGGAGGAAGAGAGAGGAGAGGUGAGGUGCGGUGCGUUGUACGAGCGAUGAGGAACAGAGAGGUGAGGUGCAGUGUAGUAGCGAGGAGGAACAGAGAGGAGAGGGGAGGUGCGGUGUAGGAGCGAGGAGGAACAGAGAGGAGAGGUGCGGUGUAGGAGCGAGGAGGAACAGAGAGGAGAGGUGUGGUGUAGGAGCGAGGAGGAAC
ensembl:lncRNA